rnacentral:tRNA from 1 species
GGCCCCUUAGCUCAGUUGGUUAGAGCAUACGACUCAUAAUCGUCAGGUCCCCAGUUCUUAUGUGGGGUAAGAGGUCG